UGGGGAAUCUUGCGCAAUGGGGGAAACCCUGACGCAGCGACGCCGCGUGCGGGAUGAAGGCCUUCGGGUUGUAAACCGCUUUCAGCAGGGACGAGGCCUUAUGGUGACGGUACCUGCAGAAGAAGCUCCGGCUAAAUACGUGCCAGCAGCCGCGGUAAUACGUAUGGAGCAAGCGUUAUCCGGAUUCAUUGGGCGUAAAGCGCUCGUAGGCGGUCUGUUAGGUCGGCAAGUUAAAUCCGGGGGCUCAACCCCCGUCCGCUUCCGAUACCGGCAGACUUGAGUUUGGUAGGGGAAGGUGGAAUUCCUAGUGUAGCGGUGGAAUGCGCAGAUAAUAGGAAGAACACCGGUGGCGAAGGCGGCCUUCUGGGGCAUGACUGACGCUGAGGAGCGAAAGCUAGGGGAGCGAACAGG
rnacentral:rRNA from 1 species